UGAAGUUUUCAGCUAGAGACACC
rnacentral:snRNA from 1 species